GGAUUAGAUACCCUGGUAGUCCACGCAGUAAACGAUGGAUACUAGUUGUCGGGAGGGUUACCUUUCGGUGACGCAGCUAACGCAUUAAGUAUCCCGCCUGGGGAGUACGAUCGCAAGGUUGAAACUCAAAGGAAUUGACGGGGGCCCGCACAAGCGGUGGAGCAUGUGGUUUAAUUCGAUGCAACGCGAAGAACCUUACCUGGGCUUGAACUGCAUGGGAAGUAAUCAGAGAUGACUGCGUCCUUCGGGACUCAUGUAGAGGUGCUGCAUGGCUGUCGUCAGCUCGUGCCG
rnacentral:rRNA from 1 species